AAUCUGAUGAAGAAAUCGUGGGAAUAUUGAGGGAAUCAAAGGAUUGAAGAGAGAGAGUGUUCUUAUCGUUUUUUUUUAAAGAGAAGAAAUUUUUGAGUUCUUGCACUUGGGAAAAAUCUGGGCAGUAAAGAGCAUUGUAGAAUCAUUCUAGGGGAGGAAAUAAACAUUUUGAGUGUGAGAAAUACAUUUAUAAAGCCUCGGAUUGUGAUUCACCAUUUUUAUCCAAGAAAAUGCAUAUUCUUGGAUAAUUUUGGAUUUAAGUGUGUUCAAGAGUGUAUGGUGUGUGUGGUUGGUGAUAAACAAGCUUAGGGGACUCCAAUAAUCGGUUUUGACGUGAAGAAAUGGGCUGAAAUGGUCUAGAGCAAGAAAAACUAAUUUUGAGCUCCAUUUUUGGCGGUACACCGGACUUGGAGAAGAAGACUUCGGAACAAGGGGUUACGGACAUCUUUUUGGGCUGGGGUCUAUUGAUUUGAAGUUCUGGACAUAAGGGGAUCAUUUUCCAAGCAAGAGAAGGAUUGGAAAGCAGCAAAAGUCAGCCAUAGAGUCGCCGUCGCCGGAGAAGAAGACAAAACCGGCGAUAUUUCCGGCGAACCCGAUCUGGGUGUUUACUGAGGAGCUAGUGGUCAUCGAGGUGACGCAGCGAGUGGUUCGAGACACGUCAGCGGAAAACGCACUGUGUAAGGUAAAGGCAAAGCAAAGCAGUGAGUGGUGCGGGCUCGAGGCAUGGACGAAACAUGUUAGAGGCUGGGCUCCAGUUAUUUUAUGUUUUUAGAAAUAAAUGUUAUGUUUUUAAAUUUUCAGACUUGAAUGGUUAUUUUCCUUAUGUUUUGUUAUUAAACCUAGCGUCCAACAUUUUUAUUUUUAAAUAAUGAGAUCUCAUUGCUGCUUAAAUUUUAAAUACAUAUGUUCUCUUAGUGUCUUAAAGUAUUUAUUGUUUAUUAUUUUUAAAUGGACUCCCUAAGUAACGUCUCGGGAAAUCGGGGCGUUACAGUAUGGUAUCAGAGAAAAACGGUCCUAAAGAAUCUGUGAUAAGCCCUAACAUGUAAAGUUCAUCGCCAAGGACGAGCUCGACUCACUGUACUGUAAGCGGUUAAAGAUUACUUAAGAAUUUUUGC